rnacentral:misc_RNA from 1 species
UUUGCUUGCGCAACAACUUCCAUCCUUCAUUCCUCUUCAGUCAUCUGUUAGGGCUUGUAUGUCCUUUCAGAUUGUGGGGUUUCCUGUAUUGUCUACCUACGUAAUGGUAUUCUCCUGAUUGAUCCUAGACCCUUUUCGUCUUGUAUCAUUCUCAUGAUAUAGGAUGAACCUCGAAGCAGUGUCUUUGUUCCACAUUGUUAAUGCACGCGUUGAUGUUGUGGCCCAUUGAUCAUUGCUUGGUUUCAUGGAUGCAGAACAUGAUAUGGGCAUGGGGUCUCUUUUGAUCCCUAUUUUGUCCUCCAUUAGCGUUGCGCUACUCGUUCAAUGACUUUCCCUCUUCUGCCACAGCAYGUACCAGUGGGUACCAGCGGUUUAGGGUUUGUUAUUUUAUGAGGAAUGCAACGUGCAUUUUACUAAGCGACGACCUUUGCCCGUAAGGCACUGUCUUAUUGGGUUAGGUUUUGUCAAUUAGGAAUGCUACCUGGUUGAUCCU